AUAUCAGGAGGAAUACCGAUGGCGAAGGCAGGUCUCUGGGCUGAUACUGACGCUCAUGCACGAAAGCGUGGGGAGCAAACAGGGUUAGUAAUACAUGGGUAAUCUGCCUUCAACCUGGGAAUAACGGCUGGAAACGGCCGCUAAUACCGAAUGAGGUGAUUUUAGGCAUCUAAAGUUUAUCAAAGUGGGGGACCGAAAGGCCUUGCGGUUGAUGAAGAGCCCAUGGGAUAUCAGCUAGUUGGUGAGGUAAUGGCUCACCAAGGCUAUGACGUCUAGGCGGAUUGAGAGAUCGACCGCCAACAUUGGGACUGAGACACUGCCCAGACUCCUACGGGAGGCUGCAGUCGAGAAUCUUUCGCAAUGGGCGAAAGCCUGACGAAGCGACGCCGUGUGUAUGAUGAAGGCCUUCGGGUUGUAAAGUACUUUAGCUUGGGAACAAGAGAAGUUGAUGAAUAAUCAGCUAAUUUGAGGGUACCAGGUAAAUAAGCGCCGGCUAACUACGUGCCAGCAGCUGCGGUAAUACGUAGGGCGCAAGCAUUAAUCGGAUUCAUUGGGCGUAAAGGGCGCGUAGGCGGGAAGUUAAGUCGGAUGUGAAAUCCCGAGGCUCAACCUCGGACCCGCAUCCGAAACUACCUUUCUUGAGGAUGAGCGGAGAAAAUAGAAUUCCACGUGUAGCGGUGAAAUGCGUAGAUAUGUGGAGGAAUACCGGUGGCGAAAGCGAUUUUCUAGCUUAGACCUGACGCUGAGGCGCGAAAGCAAGGGGAGCAAACAGGAUUAGAUACCCUGGUAGUCCUUGCCGUAAACGAUGUAUACUUGAUGUAACUGGUCUCAACCCCAGUUGUGUCGGAGCUAACGCGUUAAGUAUACCGCCUGAGGAGUACGCUCGCAAGGGUGAAACUCAAAAGAAUUGACGGGGGCCCGCACAAGCAGUGGAGCAUGUGGUUUAAUUCGAUGCUACGCGAAGAACCUUACCUAGUCUUGACAUGCAGGGGACCGCGGCAGAAAUGUCGCUUUUCGAAAGAACCGCUGCACAGGUGCUGCAUGGCUGUCGUCAGCUCGUGCCGUGAGGUGUUUGGUUAAGUCCAGCAACGAGCGCAACCCUUAUCAUUAGUUGCCAACACUUCGGGUGGGAACUCUAAUGAGACUGCCUGGGUAACCAGGAGGAAGGUGAGGAUGACGUCAAGUCAUCACGGCCCUUACGUCCUGGGCUACACACGUGCUACAAUGGCGAGGAACAAAGGGAAGCUACCGCGCGAGCGGAUGCCGAUCUCUAAAACUCGUCUCAGUUCGGAUCGUAUCGUGACUGGGAAAC
rnacentral:rRNA from 1 species